rnacentral:lncRNA from 1 species
AUGCUAGGCAAGUACUCUACUACUGACCACAUCCCCAGCUCUAUGAAAAUGAAGUUAGAAUCAGAGAUCCUUGGCUGCUACAAUACAAACCUUGAUAUGUUCAUCCCGGGUCAACCAUACACGUUGUUGAUGACAGCUGGACUCCCAACCUUUCUGGACAUCAAUAUUAAUGUUUGCAGCUCCUGGCAGUGGCUGGUAGAGGUUGCAUUUCAUAAUUCAGACAUAAAAAUUAAAAGCAGAGGCACACAGUAGCAGAACCAUCCAUCCAGUUUUUGAUGAAAGCCCUUCAAGGGGCUGGGGAUUUAGCUCAGUGGUUCUGCCAUCUACUUCACAAGCACAAGGUUCUGAGUUCGAUCCCCGAUACCACUCCCCCAAACCCCUCCCCCCAAAUGAAAGCCCUUCGGGAGGUGAGCCUUUCCCAGCUCUCUUCUAGCAAAGAAAUGCAGUCACAUGAGCAGGUAAAUAUCAGUGCUUACUUGAAAAAGAAGGCUAUAAAAGGUAUAGGAUGACUCAAAAAACAUUUCACUUCAGAGUUGGCUUCAAAGAAUAAAACUUUGUGGAUCAUCAGUCAUAUCUUCCAUGGGUAGGUACAAAAACAGAAAGGCUCUCUGGUAAAUCCUACUGGAAAUCAAGUUUGACCCCCAGAUGUGAGAGACUAGAGGACCACUCAGGUCUGCAAGAAAUUCAGUGUUUCAGUGCUUUCCCAUAAAGAAGAGUCCUACAGUUCCAUUCUGUAAUCACUAGGGCAUGUGAUUACUUCCACUGUUGACAGAAUAUAUCCCCGAUGUCUUAUGGUUUGGGAACUGUAGAUCCUAAUAUGAGAAAAAGAAAAACAAUGAAGCAAAUUCUUUGUAGAUAGGGAGGGGUGGAGAGGUGGAAAGGAGGUCAGGGGAAUGGGGAAAAAAGAACCAAGAUGGACUAUGUGAAGGUGCAAAUUCCCAAUGAUGAAUGUCAUCAUAUUGUAUACCUUAAAUGUACCAAUAAAAUUAAUUUUAAAAAAUUAGCUCAUCAUGAUUCUCUUCACUACUGAGUCCUUCCUUCAAAAACAAG